GAAAUGCGAUAAGUAAUGUGAAUUGCAGAAUUCAGUGAAUCAUCGAAUCUUUGAACGCACAUCGCGCCCUUUGGCAUUCCGAGGGGCAUGCCUGUUCGAGCGUCAUUACACCACUCAAGCCUGGCUUGGUAUUGGGCGGCGGGGCCUUCCCGCGCCUCAAUUUCUCCGGCUGGACGACCCGUAUCUCAGCGUUGUGGCAACAAAUCCGCUGGCGAGAGGGGUGGUCCGCGCCGUUAAAACUUCUAUCAAAGGUUGACCUCGGAUCAGGUAGGGAUACCCGCUGAACUUAA
rnacentral:misc_RNA from 1 species